rnacentral:rRNA from 1 species
UACGGGGGGGGCAAGCGUUGUUCGGAAUUACUGGGCGUAAAGGGCUCGUAGGUGGCCAACUAAGUCAGACGUGAAAGCCCCGAGCUUAACUUGGGAACUGCGCUCGAAACUACUUGGCUAGAGUGUGGCAGAGGGAGGUGGAAUUCCACGUGUAGCGGUGAAAUGCGUAGAGAUGUGGAGGAACACCGAUGGCGAAGGCAGCCUCCUGGGCCAACACUGACGCUGAGGCGCGAAAGCGUGGGUAGCAAACAGG